ensembl:snRNA U6 U6 spliceosomal RNA
GUGGUCAUUUUGGCAGCAUAUAUACUAAUAUUGGAAUGAUACAGUGAAGAUUAACAUGGCCCUUAUGCAAGAAUGACACAUGUAUUCAUGAAGCGUUCCAUAUCUUU